GAUGAACGCUGGCGGCGUGCCUAAUACAUGCAAGUCGAGCGAACAGACGAGGAGCUUGCUCCUCUGACGUUAGCGGCGGACGGGUGAGUAACACGUGGAUAACCUACCUAUAAGACUGGGAUAACUUCGGGAAACCGGAGCUAAUACCGGAUAAUAUAUUGAACCGCAUGGUUCAAUAGUUAAAGACGGUUUUGCUGUCACUUAUAGAUGGAUCCGCGCCGCAUUAGCUAGUUGGUAAGGUAACGGCUUACCAAGGCAACGAUGCGUAGCCGACCUGAGAGGGUGAUCGGCCACACUGGAACUGAGACACGGUCCAGACUCCUACGGGAGGCAGCAGUAGGGAAUAUUCCGCAAUGGGCGAAAGCCUGACGGAGCAAAGCCGCGUGAGUGAUGAAGGUCUUCGGAUCGUAAAACUCUGUUAUUAGGGAAGAACAAAUGUGUAAGUAACUAUGCACGUCUUGACGGUACCUAAUCAGAAAGCCACGGCUAACUACGUG
rnacentral:rRNA from 1 species